UACGGUCUUCUGAGAUCUAAGUCCUGGACGUGGCUCUUGUCUCUGAGCUGGUUUAACUUGGUAGAUUUGCUGUGACUCGCAAACUAGAGGAUUCCCAAUGAAUAGAGAGAUCCUUUCUCUGUUCUCAGAAUGUCCCUGCAACAUAUGACUGCACAUGGCGGGGAAGCCCCAGGAUAGAUGCAUGGCUCAGGACAAGUACAGCCCAGCAGGAGAGGCCAAGGAUGGAACCCUGGCAAAGCUGGCCGGAGCAGUGAACCAGCCAAGGACAGUCAUGGCCUGGAGAGGCCAGCCCCGGGAGCCACAGAUGUCCAGGAGAAGCGGGCAGAGAGGGAAGCCUGAAUCCCGGGGGAUGAAGUCACUAAUUCAUGAUCAAAGUCAGUGUCCAUGCCAGCCCUGGACCCAGAACUGAUUAGAAGAGAAAGGAAAGAGCUGGGGAGAAGAAAGGAAAGGGAUUGAACCCAGGUGUGCUUGGUCAGUGAGC